UGUCGUCAGCUCGUGUUGUGAAAUGUUGGGUUAAGUCCCGCAACGAGCGCAACCCUUAUCCUUUGUUGCCAGCGGUCCGGCCGGGAACUCAAAGGAGACUGCCAGUGAUAAACUGGAGGAAGGUGGGGAUGACGUCAAGUCAUCAUGGCCCUUACGACCAGGGCUACACACGUGCUACAAUGGCGCAUACAAAGAGAAGCGACCUCGCGAGAGCAAGCGGACCUCAUAAAGUGCGUCGUAGUCCGGAUUGGAGUCUGCAACUCGACUCCAUGAAGUCGGAAUCGCUAGUAAUCGUGGAUCAGAAUGCCACGGUGAAUACGUUCCCGGGCCUUGUACA
rnacentral:rRNA from 1 species